CAUGACAUAUAAAUUUAGUGAGCGCAUGAUAGAAAUGUAGCGCGCACAUCGCAAGAGGAGACGGUGUUAUAGCGGCAUAUUUGUGGCUCAUCUCAAUUGCGUUCAAGUUGUGUUUCUACCAAGGUUCAUACAGAGUCUAACACUGCAUCUACAAUGACUGUACUUCCACUUGCAGACAGAUGAACUACCAUAUGAGAAAGAUUUUUUGGAAGGUCACAUUUGAAACCUUAUUCUUCAAGAUCAAAGGUUGGGAACUUCAAUCCCACUUCAACAAGAGCUGAGGUUAAGAAAAAAUAAAAGAGCCAUGGAGACGAAGGGCCCAGCUGAUGUGUCAAAAAUAAGUGCAAUUCCUUACUGCUUUCACCAAGGAAAAUGUCUGAUUUGUA